rnacentral:rRNA from 1 species
UACGGAGGGUGCAAGCGUUAAUCGGAAUUACUGGGCGUAAAGCGUGCGUAGGCGGUUCGUUAAGUCUGCUGUGAAAGCCCUGGGCUCAACCUGGGAAUGGCAGUGGAUACUGGCGAGCUAGAGUGUGAUAGAGGAUGGUGGAAUUCCCGGUGUAGCGGUGAAAUGCGUAGAGAUCGGGAGGAACAUCAGUGGCGAAGGCGGCCAUCUGGAUCAACACUGACGCUGAGGCACGAAAGCGUGGGGAGCAAACAGG